rnacentral:rRNA from 1 species
AGUCAAUAGAUACCCGGGUAGUCCAUGCCGUAAACGAUGAUUGCUAGGUGUGGGGGGUCUGACCCCUUCCGUGCCGGAGUUAAACACAAAUAAGCAAUCCACCUGGGGAGUACGGCCGCAAGGUUGAAACUCAAAGGAAUUGACGGGGGCCCGCACAAGCAGUGGAGUAUGUGGUUUAAUUCGAAGCAACGCGAAGAACCUUACCAGGUCUUGACAUCCACCGAAUCCUGUAGAGAUACGGGAGUGCCCUUCGGGGAACGGUGAGACAGGUGGUGCAUGGUUGUCGUCAGCUCGUGUCGUGAGAUGUUGGGUUAAGUCCCGCAACGAGCGCAACCCUUGUGAAUAGUUGCUACGAAAGAGCACUCUAUUCAGACCGCCGUUGACAAAACGGAGGAAGGUGGGGAUGACGUCAAAUCAUCAUGCCCCUUAUGACCUGGGCUACACACGUACUACAAUGGCCGUUAACAGAGGGAUGCAAUGCCGCGAGGUGAGCGAACCCCUAAAAACGGUCUCAGUUCAGAUUGCAGGCUGAAACUCG